CCACGCAGGCCCUGAUUUAGGAGGAGGAAGGGCUAACGAGCUCCCAGGUGAUGCCAAGGCUGCUGGUCCAGGGACCACACCUUGAGGAGAGAAGCUCUACAGACACUGGACGAGACGGGACGCCUUGAGGCCAGGGGUCAGCCCGGCUGGAGCGUCCUGGAAGGAAGGUGGAAGGCCCAGGAGGGGCUGGGAAAGUGUGGCUGGCAGCCCCCAGCCCCCACCGCCUCCUGCCUCCUGCUUCCUGCUUCAGAGAAGACGAGAACUACCCGAUUCUGUAUUCUUCAAAAAAUGGCAGUGUCAUGAAUCACAGAGAAAGACUCAGGAAUAAUUCCAGAUUGAAGGAGCCGAAGGAGACGUGACAAUGAGUGCAAGGCGUGAGCGCACAUUAUGGGGACAAUUUACAAAAUGUCAAUAGCUUAAACAACAAUGACAUUUCAAUGCUGACUUCCUAAUUUUCCUACCUGUACUUGGUUAAAUAAGAGAAUUCCUUAUUUUUAGGAAAUAUACAAUGAAGUAAUAGGAGCAAAGUGUUUGCUAUCUACUCAAACAGUCAGAAAAAAAAUGCCUAUGUAUAUGGAGAGAGAAAGCAGGACAACACAAUGUAGUAAAAUAACAUUUGGAGAAUCUAGUUGAAUGGCAUUUAAAAAGUAUUUUUACUACUCUUGUAACUUUUC